rnacentral:rRNA from 1 species
GUGGGGAAUUUUGGACAAUGGGCGCAAGCCUGAUCCAGCAAUGCCGCGUGCAGGAAGAAGGCCUUCGGGUUGUAAAGCACUUUUGUCCGGAAAGAAAUCUCCUGGGUUAAUACCUCGGGGGGAUGACGGUACCGGAAGAAUAAGCACCGGCUAACUACGUGCCAGCAGCCGCGGUAAUACGUAGGGUGCGAGCGUUAAUCGGAAUUACUGGGCGUAAAGCGUGCGCAGGCGGCUAUGCAAGACAGAUGUGAAAUCCCCGGGCUCAACCUGGGAACUGCAUUUGUGACUGCAUGGCUAGAGUGCGUCAGAGGGAGGUGGAAUUCCGCGUGUAGCAGUGAAAUGCGUAGAGAUGCGGAGGAACACCGAUGGCGAAGGCAGCCUCCUGGGAUGACACUGACGCUCAUGCACGAAAGCGUGGGGAGCAAACAGGAUUAGAAACCCUGGUAGUCC